UCUCUAUGAUGAGACCAAAUACAGGAAGUGAGGGCGGGACAAGCAGCGAUCUGUGCACUAAGAAAAAGCAGGACAGUGUGCACUGAGGCUCUAUAACAUGCUCCGGGCUCAUACAUCAGGAUGAUUGACAAACCAGGAGUCUGCACAGAUCCCUGCUUGUCCCGCCCUCACUUCCUGUAUUUGGUCUCAUCAUAGAGACACACAGAUAAUAGCUGCAGGGACAGCAUUUUUUCACCUAAAAAUAUACACAAUUUUUAAUCAAUGUAUAUUACAAAUAUAUAUAUAUAUAUAUAUAUAUAUAUAUAUAUAUAUAUAUAUAUAAUUGUAUUAUCUACAUUAUAUAAAAAGUUUUUGUUGACGACAGGUCCACUUUAACUUAGAAUACCCCUUUAAACCCGUUCCCUGCAAACUCUGCAGUAGUAACCAGGGAUCGACCAGGGAUCGUGUAAUGUCCCUUCACUUCCAGUCAUCUUGUGUGGCUACCACAUGAGAUCUCCUGGACACAAAAUACAUACUUAGAACUGGAAAUCUGCACCCGUCGGCCAAAUGGAUAACAUGGUAUGAAUAUCGCACUCCAAAUUUAUUUUAUAGCCCUGACAGUCAACUACCGGACACUACGCUGGUGGUCUUCAACUUGUCCCUGUACAGCUUUUGGGAAACUACAACUUCUAUCAUGCUCUGAUGAUUGCUGGGGGUUGUAGUUUCUCAGCAGCUGCUGAGCGACAGGUAAAAAGCCAUGACCCUAGGAAAAAGGCUAUUUGCAUUGUAGAUAACAUUCAAUCUGACCAUAGACUUUGCUUUGCUCUUAAAGGGGUAUUCUGGCUUUAUACAUCUUAUCCCCUAUCCAAAGGAUAGGGGGAUAAGAUGUCUGAUCGCAGGAGUCCUGCCGCUGGGGACCGCCCCCCUGCAAUCUCUGUGCAGCCCCUGGCAUUCUGUGCCAAGCGCUGCCUCCAAGAUGGGGACAUGACGUCAAGGCCACGCCUCCUCCUUUCAUGUCUACGGGAGGGGGCGUAAUGGCUGAGACGGGGAUGUGACAUCAAGCCACGCCCCCUCCUGAUGUCUACGUGACAUGAAUGGAGGGGGUGUGGUCGUGACAUCACGUCCCCGUCUCGGAGGCAGCUCCCGGCACAGAAUGCCGGGGGCUGCACCAAGAUCGCAGGGGUCCCCAGCGGCAGGACCCCUGCGAUCAUAAAUCUUAUCCUCUAUCCUUUGGGUAGGGGGAUAAGAUGUAUAAAGCCGGAAUUCCCCUUUAAAGGGAGUACUCCGCUGCUCAGCGUUUGGAACAAACUGCUCCGAACGCCGGCGCCAGUAGCUCGUGGCGCCAUAGCCCCACCCCCUCAUGCCGUCACGCCCCGCCCCCUCAAUGCAAGUCUAUGGGAGGGGGCGUGACGGCCGUCACGCCCCCUCCCAUAGACUUGCAUUGAGAGGGCAUAGACUUGCAUUGACGUCAUGAGGGGUUUGUUCCAAACGCUGAGCAGCGGAGUACCCCUUUAAGACUGUAAUCCCAGUUCUUACCUGUUGACCUGAUCUACACGGUACACAUCAAGCGACGUUAUCUAAUAAAAUAGCGCAAUUGGUUGCUAUGGAAAAUGUCAAUUUAUAGCCGUAUUACCAGAUAAGCCCUGAUGUGUGCACGCCUAUACCCACUGUUAUACAUAUUGGCCUAUAUAUCUAUAUAGGUGUAAUGUUCGCAAGUAUUCAUGUUCCUAUAAGUCUACGUAGACACCUGUGCACUCAUGUAGCCCGAAGGCGCGUAUGUACCUUUCAAGCUGUAUAGCGUGAUCAGGUUAGAGCUCGUCUGGACGGGUUCAUGUACGAUGUUGGAGUUUAGUUUAAAGGUUUUUGUACUGAGAGGAACUGUUUAAAUGUUUUAUAUCUGUUUCUUUUAAGGUUAUUAUGGCAGAAAUUUAGCACUUAAAUGGGCAAAAAGGCCCAUGGUAGAAACACUGGAAAGGCCAUAUAAAAAAAAGCACUCAGCCAUUAAACUGCGUUUACAACCUG